GAGUUCUCAACCUUUGCUAGUCCCCUUCCCCAAUCUCGCAUCUUCCGUCUCGUCCACCAAACCCUAGCUCGCCCGCGCCGCCGCCAUGGACGGGGUCGAAGCGGAGAUCGCGCGCACGCAGGAGGAGCGGCGCAAGAUGGAGGAGGCGCUGGCGGCCGGCGCGCCCAUGGCCGUCUCCUCCGUCACCUUCGACACCGACCUCUACGGCGGCGGGGGCGCCGACCCCAACCGCUUCGCCGGCUACGACACCUCCAUCCCGGCGUCCGAGGACGACGCCGCGGAGGAGGACACGGAGGCCGCCAACCCCGCGCCGCGCCGCCUCGCGGCCUACACGGGCCACGCCAUCGCCGCCGCCGACCUCCCGCGCUCCGCCGACGACGACGGGGGGCUGCCCAAGAGGUCCCAGCGCAUCAUCGACCGCGAGGACGACUACCGGCGCCGCCGCCUCAACCAGAUCAUCUCGCCGGAGCGCCAUGACCCGUUCGCUGCCGGGGAGGCCACCCCGGACCCCUCGGUGCGGACCUACGCCGAUGUCAUGCGCGAUGCGGCGCUGCAGAAGAAGAAGGAGGACCUGCUGCGGGAGAUUGCGAAGAAGAAGGAAGAGGAGGAGAAGGAGAAGGAGAAGAAGGCUGCUGCGCCCGAGCAGCCCGCCGCCACCACGAAGCGGCGCAACAGGUGGGAUCAGUCGCAGGACAGCGAUGCUGGUGCUGGGGCCAAGAAGGCAAAGACAUCCUCGGACUGGGACGCCCCUGAUGCAACUCCUGGGAUUGGCCGUUGGGACGCCACACCUGGACGUGUUGGAGAUGCUACGCCCUCUGUGAGAAGGAAUAGAUGGGACGAGACACCGACUCCAGGGAGGAUGGCUGAUGCUGAUGCGACGCCUGCAGCUGGUGGUGUUACCCCGGGUGCAACUCCUUCUGGGGCUUGGGAUGCAACUCCAAAGCUGCCUGGUGGUGUCACACCAACCCCUGGUAAGAAGCAGAGAUCAAGGUGGGAUGAGACACCAGCGAGUAUGGGGAGUGCCACCCCUGGUGGUCUUGGUGCUGCGACACCUGCUGGUUAUACUCCUGGACCGACACCAUUUGGUGCAGAGAACCUUGCCACGCCAACUCCUAGCCAGAUUGCUCGUGGCCCGAUGACUCCAGAGCAGUACCAGCUCAUGCGGUGGGAGCGGGACAUUGAGGAGAGGAACAGGCCUCUCACUGAUGAGGAGCUUGAUGCCAUGUUCCCGCAGGAGGGGUACAAGAUUCUUGAGCCUCCGGCUUCCUACCAGCCUAUAAGGACCCCGGCAAGGAAGCUUCUUGCAACACCAACACCUCUGGGAACACCACUUUAUGCUAUUCCAGAGGAGAAUCGUGGGCAGCAUUUUGAUGUGCCCAAGGAGGUCAGUGGUUUACCGCUCAUAAAGCCAGAGGAUUAUCAAUACUUUGGAUCUUUGCUGAAUGAGGAAGAGGAGGAGCAGCUAUCGCCGGAGGAGCAGAAGGAGAGGAAAAUCAUGAAGCUGUUGCUCAAAGUGAAGAAUGGCACACCCCCACAGCGUAAAACAGCACUUCGGCAGCUGACAGACAAAGCUCGGGAAUUUGGUGCUGGACCGCUGUUCAACAAGAUCCUGCCCUUACUCAUGCAGCCAACACUGGAGGACCAGGAGCGGCAUCUUCUGGUGAAGGUCAUUGAUAGGGUGCUGUAUAAGCUGGAUGAGCUGGUCCGUCCAUUUGUGCACAAGAUUCUUGUGGUUAUUGAGCCACUGCUGAUUGAUGAGGACUACUAUGCUCGUGUUGAGGGCCGGGAGAUCAUCUCAAAUCUUAGCAAAGCAGCUGGUCUUGCCACUAUGAUUGCUGCCAUGCGGCCAGAUAUUGAUAACAUUGAUGAGUAUGUUAGAAACACCACUGCUAGGGCGUUCAGUGUGGUGGCAUCUGCUUUGGGUAUCCCCGCGCUCCUACCAUUCUUGAAGGCUGUCUGUCAGAGUAAGAAGUCUUGGCAGGCGCGGCACACUGGUAUCAAAAUCGUUCAGCAGAUUGCUAUUCUCAUGGGCUGCGCUGUUCUGCCACAUCUCAAGUCACUAGUUGAGAUCAUUGAGCAUGGUCUGAGCGAUGAGAACCAAAAAGUGCGGACCAUUACCGCCCUUUCUCUUGCUGCACUAGCUGAGGCUGCUGCACCCUACGGCAUAGAAAGCUUUGAUACUGUUUUGAAGCCUUUGUGGAAGGGUAUCAGAUCUCACCGUGGAAAGGUCCUUGCUGCCUUCUUGAAGGCCAUUGGUUUCAUCAUCCCUCUGAUGGACGCUCUGUAUGCUAGUUACUACACAAAGGAGGUUAUGCAGGUCCUUAUUAGGGAGUUCCAGUCACCAGAUGAAGAGAUGAAGAAGAUUGUCCUCAAGGUCGUGAAGCAGUGUGUCAGUACAGAGGGUGUGGAGGCUGAUUAUAUCCGGAACGACAUCCUUCCUCAUUUCUUCAAGCACUUCUGGGUUAGGAGAAUGGCUCUAGAUCGUAGGAACUAUAAGCAGCUUGUGGAGACUACAGUGGAGAUGGCGAAUAAGGUUGGAGUUGCUGAUAUUGUUGGGAGGGUAGUUGAGGAUCUGAAAGAUGAAAGCGAGCCCUAUAGAAGAAUGGUGAUGGAAACAAUUGAGAAGGUGGUGGCCAACUUGGGUGCUUCAGAUAUUGAUGCUCGUCUAGAGGAGCUGCUUAUUGAUGGUAUUCUGUAUGCUUUCCAAGAGCAGACAAGUGAUGAUGCAAAUGUUAUGCUUAAUGGUUUUGGAGCUGUGGUUAAUGCACUUGGACAAAGAGUUAAGCCUUACCUUCCUCAGAUUUGUGGUACCAUCAAGUGGAGAUUGAACAACAAGAGCGCAAAAGUUAGGCAGCAAGCUGCUGAUCUGAUCUCCAGGAUAGCCAUUGUCAUGAAGCAGUGCCAGGAGGAGCAGCUCAUGGGUCACUUGGGUGUUGUGCUGUAUGAGUACUUAGGAGAGGAAUAUCCUGAAGUGUUGGGUUCGAUUCUUGGAGCCUUGAAGGCUAUCGUCAAUGUCAUUGGUAUGACUAAAAUGACUCCCCCAAUCAAGGAUCUUCUUCCUCGUCUGACCCCCAUCUUGAAGAACAGGCAUGAGAAGGUCCAAGAGAACUGCAUUGAUCUUGUUGGUAGGAUUGCUGAUCGUGGAGCAGAAUUUGUGCCAGCAAGAGAAUGGAUGAGGAUUUGUUUUGAGCUGCUUGAAAUGUUGAAGGCUCACAAGAAGGGUAUUAGGAGAGCCACUGUGAACACAUUUGGUUAUAUUGCUAAGGCUAUUGGACCUCAGGAUGUGUUGGCGACCCUGUUGAAUAACUUGAAGGUGCAGGAGCGUCAGAACCGUGUUUGCACAACUGUAGCGAUUGCAAUUGUUGCUGAAACUUGCUCACCUUUCACAGUUUUGCCUGCCCUUAUGAACGAGUACCGAGUCCCAGAGCUCAAUGUCCAAAAUGGUGUUCUGAAGUCCCUCUCUUUCCUCUUUGAGUAUAUUGGUGAGAUGGGCAAAGAUUACAUAUAUGCUGUCACUCCCUUACUUGAAGAUGCCCUUAUGGAUAGAGAUCUGGUUCACCGGCAGACUGCUGCCUCUGCUGUUAAGCACAUGGCUCUGGGCGUUGCUGGCUUGGGAUGUGAGGAUGCUCUUGUCCAUCUGCUUAACUAUGUGUGGCCCAACAUUUUUGAGACAUCUCCCCACGUUAUAAAUGCUGUCAUGGAGGCGAUCGAGGGGAUGAGGGUUGCACUAGGUGCAGCUGUGAUUUUGAAUUAUUGCCUGCAAGGUCUCUUCCAUCCAGCAAGGAAAGUGCGAGAAGUGUAUUGGAAGAUCUACAACUCUCUAUACAUCGGUGCCCAGGAUGCGCUUGUUGCUUCAUAUCCUGCACUGGAGGAUGACGGGGAUAACAUCUUUAGCCGUCCCGAGCUGGCAAUGUUUGUCUGAUUAACGUGACUACGCAGCGCGAUUGGCACCCAAGUGUUGUUAGCGUUUGAGCAAGUGCUGUAGCAAGCAGUAAUUGGCUGGAUGUACUUGUCCAUAUGUCGUCAUCCAUAUGCAUGUGAAGCUUGAUCUGGGUGGUAUUUAAGUUGGAGCUUCUACUUAAAUUACUCGGCGUUACCUCUUGUGAUGCAUGUUAUUGAAGUUGCAUCUUUUUUGUAUUUGCAGGAUUGUUCCUUCUGAAGGGGGGUGUGCAAUGUUUAGGAAUUAUUAUUCCUGGUUUACUGUAAUUUAGUGCUGAAUUGCUGACAUAAUCUGACCUACUGACCAUUUGGAAAUGCUUUGUUUUCAGGGCACUUUGGGUUCAAGCUGCUGAAGAGUUGCACCUGGAUUUAGGCGCCAGUCCUAAGCGCAGAGUCCCCGCAGCAUGUUUAGUUUACAUUAUUAUGAUCCUGUGUAUCCUGAAGGAGAAAUGACAAUGCUAGUUUGCUGUGUCUUGUUAUGAAAUUAAGGCGUUGUGUUCGUAAACUUUGUAUUUGCCCCAGGAUGUUAUAUACUCAGUAAUAUGCUGUGAACGAUGGAGAUUGCGAGCUCCUCCGUGUUUUUGUUCCCUCGCUGUAUUGUUUAGAGGACAUGAGAUGUCUGGUGCAGGUCUGAUACAAACUUUUUUCUCGAA